GCUUGUCUCAAAGAUUAAGCCAUGCAUGUCUAAGUAUAAGCAAUUAUACAGCGAAACUGCGAAUGGCUCAUUAUAUAAGUUAUCGUUUAUUUGAUAGUGCCUUACUACUUGGAUAACCGUGGUAAUUCUAGAGCUAAUACAUGCUACAAGCCCUGACUUCGGAAGGGGCGUAUUUAUUAGAUUAAAAACCAAUGCCCUCUGGGCUCCUUGGUGAAUCAUGAUAACUUCACGAAUCGCACGGCCUUGCGCCGGCGAUGGCUCAUUCAAAUUUCUUCCCUAUCAACUUUCGAUGUUUGGGUAGUGGCCAAACAUGGUUGCAACGGGUAACGGAGGGUUAGGGCUCGACCCCGGAGAAGGAGCCUGAGAAACGGCUACUACAUCCAAGGAAGGCAGCAGG
rnacentral:rRNA from 1 species